GAAAGUGUAUCAUCACUCCCGAUUCGCGGGAACUUUUUAUUUCGCUGGAAUCACCGGAGGAAAAGUGCCGAGGGUCUCGUUAAACAAAAGCGAAAAGUUUAUAUUUAUAUGAGGGGGAACCCCCACGAAAGAACCAAAUUAACAGCGCAUCGCUUGCAAAUAUUUCGACUACAUUUGGCACAAAAAUCUGGUCAUCAAAUGCAGACGAUUGAAUAAGGAAUUUGCGAUUGAAUAAAGAAUCGUUUUGUGUCUAUGCAUAUUGUCAAGAUCCCGCUUGCAACUUUUGCAAGUUUCAGGGUUCUUUAAAUAGAAAUGUAUACAUUUUUUAGAACAGAAUUGGAUAUAGGCAUUCCAUAAACUUUAAAAAAUCAACUCAGUGCAGCGCCGUAAAAAGAAUUCUUCCAAAAAUGAAUUAAAGGCAGCACUGAGGAGUGGUUGUGCAAUGCAAUACUCA